rnacentral:tRNA from 1 species
GGGGGUGUAGCUCAGUGGUAGAGCACCUGCCUUGCAUGCAUGAGACACUGGGUUCAAUCCUCAGCACCACAU